rnacentral:rRNA from 1 species
GGGAGGUAAAUUUCUCCUAAGGCUAAAUAUCGGCGAGAGACCGAUAGCGAACAAGUACCGUGAGGGAAAGAUGAAAAGAACUUUGAAAAGAGAGUAAAAUAGUACGUGAAAUUGUUGAAAGGGAAACGAUUGAAGUCAGUCGUACCGACGGAAAAUCAGCUCUUCGAGUGCGAACUUGUGGGCGUACGUGAGCUUUAACCGGCCUCGUUGUUUGCGAUGUUUGUGCUUUUUGGGUGUACUUUUUCGUAUGGUUGGCCAACGUCAGUCUCGGUUACCAUAAAAUGAUUGGAGGAAUGUAGCU